UGGGGAAUUUUGGACAAUGGGCGCAAGCCUGAUCCAGCCAUGCCGCGUGCGGGAAGAAGGCCUUCGGGUUGUAAACCGCUUUGUCAGGGAAGAAAUCUUCUGAGUUAAUACCUCGGGAGGAUGACGGUACCUGAAGAAUAAGCACCGGCUAACUACGUGCCAGCAGCCGCGGUAAUACGUAGGGUGCAAGCGUUAAUCGGAAUUACUGGGCGUAAAGCGUGCGCAGGCGGUUUUGUAAGACAGAGGUGAAAUCCCCGGGCUCAACCUGGGAACUGCCUUUGUGACUGCAAGGCUUGAGUGCGGCAGAGGGGGGAUGGAAUUCCGCGUGUAGCAGUGAAAUGCGUAGAUAUGCGGAGGAACACCGAUGGCGAAGGCAAUCCCCUGGGCCUGCACUGACGCUCAUGCACGAAAGCGUGGGGAGCAAACAGGAUUAGAUACCCUGGUAGUCCACGCCCUAAACGAUGUCAACUGGUUGUUGGGAAGGUUCCUUCUCAGUAACGUAGCUAACGCGUGAAGUUGACCGCCUGGGGAGUACGGCCGCAAGGUUGAAACUCAAAUGAAUUGACGGGGUCAUAGCUGUUUCCU
rnacentral:rRNA from 1 species